rnacentral:rRNA from 1 species
UCCCAGCACUCCAAGUCGCAGCCACAAUUAUUGGGUCUAAAACAUCCGUAGCUUGCACUGUAAGUCUCUUGUGAAAUCGGGCAUCUUAAGUGUCCGUCGGGCAAGAGAUACUGCUUUGCUAGAGACCGGGAGACGUAAGAAGUACGCACGGAGUAGCGGUAAAAUGUGUUGAUCCUGUGUGGACUAACAACAGCGAAGGCAUCUUACGAGAACGGAUCUGACAGUGAGGGAUGAAGGCUAGGGGCGCAAAGUG